rnacentral:rRNA from 1 species
CCUACGGGAGGCUGCAGUGGGGGAUAUUGCACAAUGGGGGAAACCCUGAUGCAGCGACGCCGCGUGGGCGAAGAAGUAUUUCGGUAUGUAAAGCCCCAUCAGCAGGGAAGAAGAAAUGACGGUACCUGAGUAAGAAGCACCGGCAAAAUACGGGCCAGCAGCCGGGGUAAUACGGUGGGUGCAAGCGAUAUCCGGUUUUAGUGGGUGAAAGGGGAGCGCUGGCGGCACAGAAUGCCGGAGGUGAAAGCCCGCGGCCCAACCGCGGGACGGCAUUGAGAACGACCGGGCUGGAGUGGCGGGGAGGUAGGCGGAAGUCCGGGUGUGGCGGUGAAAGGCGUAGAGAUCCGGAGGAACACCGGUGGCGAGGGCGGCCUGCUGGACUGCGACUGACGUGGAGGCCCGAAAGCGUGGGGAGCAAACAGGAUUAGAUACCCGGUAGUC